ACAUUCUAAGACUAAAAUCAAAUGGUGACGAAGCUAAACCUUGCACCACAACCAUGGGGGAAAUGCUUAACACGCAAACAAGAGUGAGAUAGCGUGGCGAAAUUGGUAAAAGGGACGAAUGAAGAUCUUACCGACGGAACGGAGAAUGGUUCCGGUGCGUGUUACAAAGGAAACUUCAAUCGCAAUGUGCAGAGAAAUCCAGAGGGGAGGUAAUAACUAGCUUCCAGGUUAUGGAAAUGCAAGCUGGUGGAUGACUGGGUGUUUAUUUGUUCCCAGCUUGGUUCUCUUUGAAUUGGAUGCCCAUUGAAAUGUAUUUGUUUUAGACAAUUUGCUAGAACUGUCAGGACUAUGCAGCUGCCAUUGGCUUAUGAAUGGGACUAUUUUCGUGUUACGGUUUGAGGCUUUGGUUAGGAAGUGGGCAUGGAAGCUGCAUGGCUGGUAUGUGAAGCUAGAAAUUGAAGGUAAGCUAAAAAGGAAAUAUGUUAAGUUUUGAAACGAUUAUGAAUAUUGUGAAUGCUGGUCUGGUUUGGUGUUUGGAUGCAGGCUGCUAAUAUUUUGGUUACUAUGUGUGCAGAAUUUGUGGAUUGUGAAUUUAUGGAUGAUGGUUGUAGUUUAUGCUAAUCUAUUCUUUUGUGAUGCAGGUUGGUUGGAUGAUUUAAUACCUGACUGAAUUGUGUGUGUUGCAGGGCAUAUAAGAGGCUCAAAAGGAGGUGGAAUAUGAAGCAUGGGGUUAUUGAGUGCAGAUAUGGCCAUGUAUAAAAUAUGAAAUUGUUAUAACAAUGGUUAAAAGGAAUGUUAGGGGAGUUAUGAGGAGGUUAAGAUUCUGUUUUGGUUUUGUGAUGUAUGUAUUGUGAAUAUUGUACACGAACUUGCAUGAAUUUGUAUGAGAAUCAAUGUAGGUAGGUUUGAUGGCAUGGUCUUAAAACGAAUGUAUACUGAAUUAUGCAGGGCAGUAGUUAGAAAAUUAGUUUAAAACGGUUGCGGUUAGUAGAAAAUGAAACUUAAAACUAAUAGAAAAAGGUUAAUGAAAAAUCUGUAACAAGAAUUCUGCUAGUCGUUAGUCAUGGAAUCAGUUAGCUUGGACUUGGCUGUAAUGAUUGUUAUAAGUUUAAAGUGAAUUUUGGAAUGGUUUUCUAUCUUCUUCAUAGCAUUUCAAUGCACUCAAUAGAUUGUGCUCUAUAUCUCUAAUUAGAGAUUCUGCUAGGUAUUCAAGUAUCCCACCAAUUUUGGCUUUUCCUGUUUCCUUUGAAUUAAGUGGUAGAUUAUGUGGACUUAGAUGUUUGCAUUUGCGUCUGAAACUUAUAGAUUCGAAACUGCCUUGGAACUGAUAUGUUGUUUUCGUUUUGAUGCAGGUUUUAUGUAUUCGGUCAUGGUUCAUUCAUAAAUUUCGACUUGUUAUUUGAUUGUCAACUUGCAAAAUCAGUAGGUUAGUUGAGAGUGAAGGCUGGAUUGAUAGUUUAGGUUGGCUUUGAUCUAUGUUUGCUCACUGUCUGUGAUAUAGCAUGAGAUUACCUUGGCAUUCAUGGAGACCUAUGCAUGAUUUGAAGUCAUGGAAACAAAAUGGUAUAAGAGGGACAGCAAUAUUGAGGAAUGGGAAAAAUGUGUUGACUUGAAGAUAAAAUCGAAGAGAAGUCCAGGAUUAACAUGUUGACUUUGAUCAACUGUUUGACCAAAAAGUCAACAGUUGACUAAAAGUCAACUUAGGUCAAAAUGUGUCAAUUUCUUGCAAUCUUUCUUUCUUUUAUGUGUAAUGAUCGUGUUGACUUGUAAUUGACCUUUUCAAGUAAUGAAGUCAUUUCCCUCCUUAUUUGGAUUUAAA